GAGGCACUACAAUGUACACCCUAACUCCACAAUCCACACUAGCCUCUAGUCUACAAACAUCAGAAUCCUCCUAGAUUUAACAAAAAUUGUUGGCGUAAUCAGAUUAAUUCAUGGUGGGUUUUAAUUGGUUGCUGUCAAGAAAUAUCAGGCUUAGGAGAUACAUCGUCAGCAGAGAUCCAUAACUUAUCAAAAGCUGAUUAAAACAGGAUGCAUCCUCCACUCAUCUGUGCUAGUGAAGAACACACACUGAACUGUGUGUGUGUAGUUGACAGGAUUGUGGCAUUUAAUUGUGAAUGUGUGUGUCAGUUUGAGAUGAGAAUCAUACGAAAAAACCUGGAAUGAACUAUGAACCUUCCAAGGUAGGAUGACAUCUCUGUACCUCACAAGUAGCCUAAUGCGGCUACAUUUGAACACGCAAGAGGGGUGACUAACUAUGGUGUUACCACUAUAACACUAGCAGUAUAUCACAUACAGGCUUUUUAUUGAUGCAUUGUAUUUUACGAGGCAGAUAAAUUAAAAACAAAUUCUUAUUUACAAUGAAGGCCUGAUGUAAGAUAUUUAUCUUCAACCAUCCAUGAGUUCUACUGGAGUAGACUACACGGUGCCAGCUGGUGGUGAUCCAUGGUAGUGGUACAACCAUCACAUGACUGGAACAUCACUGGAGGCAAGUGGAGGAACAGCCACUCCAGAGAGGAGAUAAUGGAGAAGAGAAUGAAAUGAGAGGAGCUUUAGUCUAUUUGACUAACCACUGGAAAUGGAAACAGAUCAGCUGACACAGAACACUGCAGCGUCACACCUUGAAGACUCUUUUGGCACGUCAGCUAUAUCUGUUGUCACACCCUCAAACACUUCUACAUUCUAAAACAGAGCUACGUGUGAGAAUUAUUUUAGGCUCAAUCUGUGAAGUCACAGGUUCUGACAAGCAUUUCGCUACACUCGCAAUAACAUCUGCUAACCAUGUGUAUGUGACCAAUAAAAUGUGAUUUGAAGACCACAGGACCAAUCCAGUGUCAGAAUGCCUUAUUCACAGUUCAGCCAAAUAAGAUUCAUUGGCCCAAGUGUAUGUAUGAACCCAGUGGGUAUGUAUGUAAAGUGUGUGAAUGUUACCUCUGUGUAAAUUAAUAUUUACCGUGUGGGAAUGUGUGUGUAAUAGUAUAAUGAGUAGAGGCUCACUUCAUAUGGAACAAACACCCAGGGCAUCCCCAGUGGCCUGCUGUUACCUCUAUCAUCCAGGACAUCCACAUGACUGAAUAGCACCCAGGUGCUUUCAGAGGGGAGCCCCCUCCCUGUGAUGUCAGUGUUGACUGUUGACGUUCUUUCCACACUGGUCAG
rnacentral:lncRNA from 1 species